rnacentral:rRNA from 1 species
UACGGAGGGUGCGAGCGUUGUCCGGAAUCACUGGGCGUAAAGGGCGCGUAGGCGGCGCGAGCAGUCGGCGGUGAAAGCCCGGAGCUCAACUCCGGGUCGGCCGUCGAUACUCUCGUGCUCGAGCACUGUAGAGGCAGGUGGAAUUCCGGGUGUAGCGGUGGAAUGCGUAGAGAUCCGGAAGAACACCGGUGGCGAAGGCGGCCUGCUGGGCAGUUGCUGACACUGAGGCGCGACAGCGUGGGGAGCAAACAGG